rnacentral:pre_miRNA from 1 species
CAUGUACUCCCUCCGUCCCAAAAUUCUUGUCUUAGAUUUGUCUAAAUACGGAUGUAUCUAGUUACAUUUUAGUAUUAGAUACAUCCGUAUCUAGACAAAUCUAAGACAAGAAUUUUGGGAUGGAGGGAGUAAAUG